rnacentral:rRNA from 1 species
UACAGAGGUCUCAAGCGUUGUUCGGAUUCAUUGGGCGUAGAGGGUGUGUAGGUGGCGCGCUAAGUCGGGUGUGAAAUUUCGGAGCUUAACUCCGAAACUGCAUUCGAUACUGGCGUGCUUGAGGACUGGAGAGGAGACUGGAAUUCAUGGUGUAGCAGUGAAAUGCGUAGAGAUCAUGAGGAAGACCAGUGGCGAAGGCGGGUCUCUGGAACGCAACUGACGCUGAGACGCGAAAGCGUGGGGAGCAAACAGG